rfam:Spizellomyces punctatus DAOM BR117 chromosome Tnknown supercont1.7, whole genome shotgun sequence.
GCCCCCAUAGCACAGUGGUAGUGCGUCAGUCUUGUAAACUGAAGGUCCCAGGUUCGAACCCUGGUGCGGGCA